GACGAACGCUGGCGGCGUGCUUAACACAUGCAAGUCGAACGAUGAAGUCUAGCUUGCUAGAUGGAUUAGUGGCGCACGGGUGAGUAACACGUGGGAAUCUGCCCUUGGGUACGGAAUAGCUCCGGGAAACUGGAAAUAAUACCGUAUGAUGUCUUCGGACCAAAGAUUUAUCGCCCAAGGAUGAGCCCGCGUCUGCUCAGGUAGUUGGUGGGGUAAUGGCCUACCAAGCCGACGAUCAGUAGCUGGUCUGAGAGGAUGAUCAGCCACACUGGGACUGAGACACGGCCCAGACUCCUACGGGAGGCAGCAGAGGGGAAUCUUGGACAAUGGGGGAAACCCUGAUCCAGCCAUGCCGCGUGAGUGAAGAAGGCCUUAGGGUUAUAAAGCUCUUUUAAUCGGGAAGAUAAUGACGGUACCGAUAGAAUAAGCACCGGCUAACUUCGUGCCAGCCGCCGCCGUAA
rnacentral:rRNA from 1 species